GCUGAAGUGGCAGGAGAGACAGGUGAAGUAGCACCCGCUUCGGAUGUUAUCAUCCCAUAGAAUGGCGAUUAUCAGUGGUUAUCAGCCCCAUUGAAUGGCCUCAGUUGGUCCCUGCUCUGCCUGCUAGCAGGUUUUAAUCAACCAUUCUAUCGGUGAUAACAGCAACUCUUCGCCGAUAUAACCUUUUUUUUUUUAGCUUUUUAAAAAAACCUUUAUUUACAAUUUAUGUGCUAGUUUGAACAGGAUAUUAAGAAUAUUUACUACAAAUACAUGGUCAUAAGACUUUAAUUCGAUGUUUAAAAAUAACUCAGUAAAAUAUAAAACCGGAGGGUUUUUGUUGUGAUUAUUAACUUGAUUUAAAAGCGAUGUUUUUUGUUAGUUUUUUUGUUUUAAUUUAGCAACUAUUUUUGAGUAUGAUACCAAUGAUUUACUCUAAAAAAAAUUAAGAAAAAUUAAAAUGUAUUUUCUUUCGUGAUUGCAUGAUAAACUGUUCUGUAAACGUUUUAAUAUCUUUGAUUGAAAUAAUAAAAAUGAGGACGGAUCCCACAAAAACCCAAGAAGAAGAAGCUAACGUCAUCAUAUGCGACACUUACACUCCGGUGAGUAGAAACCUGCAUCUGUCAAAAUGUAUUUGUACUCUAAAACCAAAAAUAACUCCAAAGUGUUAUGUUAUAAACUUACUGAUGGUAGUUUUAGGACGUAAUGGCAGUAGGACUGUGAUGCGAAUGGUUGAAAACACGUUUGUAUUAUUUUUUGCCGGAAAAUAUACGGUGGAAGCUAGCUAAAUUAGCCUCUUGGAGGCUAAUUGUACCUGUACAUUGUACCUGUGCUUAAUACGUUUAAUUAGCCAUGAUAGAGUCACAUAAUAAUGUUUAUGGUCAUGCUUGUUGUGGCCACUUUGUAAAAUUGGAGGGUUCCUAAAGACAUCAGUGCCCCUAGGCUGUGAUGAUCUUUAAAGUUUUGUUUAUGAACCCUGUCUGAUACACUGAUUGCAGCUAGGUCAUUUACUUGAAUUAAAAACGAACUUGCAUCAGUACAGGCAAAUUUCUUUCCUCCUGUCUAUGUUAUUUAUUGCUGUUGCAAGCCAGAUGAAGAGAAGUAAAGAGCCGAGAACCUGACCUUUGAACAGACAGAGACCAUCGGUCAGGAGCAGCCUGGGAUGAUACCAGAGAACCAGGAAGAUACUGUGAUAGUGCUUCUUGAUCUGAUUCAAAUUUCUCCUCCUGUUGUCCCAUAGUCUCAGUCUUUUCAGAAGAAGAAAAUACCCAGAAGCACCUCUCCAGCUGCCUCUUCUCCCACUCGUAAUCUGUCCCCAUUUCUCUCAAUUUUCCAUGGCAAAGCCCAUGAAUGUAAGAUACAGAUGGACAAAGCUUGUGCCAAGGCUCAUUGCAAGAUCAGAAAGGAGAAAACAUCUUAGCAUUGGCUUUAGAAGAUGUUGGUCGCUUGAAGGCUGAUACAGACACAGAAGUUCUGUCUUUGGAAGAGAUCCUGUCCGGUGACACAACAUUGCCAUGGCAGCAAUCACACAGUGGUAAGUAAACAUACACUAAUGUGUUUUAUACUGUCAUCAUACCUGACAGAUAAUGUGACUAAAUACUCCAGGUGUUGACCUAAACUUACUAAUUUAAACUUUUACUGAGUUGAUUUGUCCUUUUCAUAAAUGCAUUUCAGACUCUGCCCUUGUUUUUGUGUGAAGACUGGCAAUCGAUGACAUCAUGAUAGUUAAGAGACUGGAAGAGGAAAAGAGGAUCCUUGUUGAUGGACCAUCAUUGGAAAUCUGUCAUCCUAUGAAGACACUCUAAAGGAGUUUCCCGCCUAUUAUCGGUUUGUCCUGUGCCCUAACUGACGAAGGUCCAAGAAGUAUCCAGAGCAUCAUCCUCAGAGAGCUGCAGCACCAACAGAUGAAGCUGCAGUCAACAGAGUAUUAUCUACAGCAGGGGAGCCCAAAGUGGGUCCUGGAGGCCCGGCAUCCUGGAUAUUUAAGUUCUCUCCCUUGUUUAACACACCUGCAUCAAAUGAUGGGUCGUUAGAAGGGCUAAGAACAUUGACAAGCUGAURAGGUUGUUACUUCCAGCAGUGAGAGAAUAAAACAUGCUGGGCCACUAGGACCRACUUUGGACACCCUGAUCUACAGACUUUUGUCAGGAGAAGAGAGCGUUACCUUUGACGACAACUUCAGUAGUGACUGAUAAGUCAUAUAUAUAUAGUUUGCUCAUAAGUCACAAAGAGACACCUUACAAUUUGUUCUUGUGCUUUCAUGUUUCCAAAUAGGCAAUGUUUCUUUUUCUAAAUGGUUAAUUUGUUUGUGCCUUUGUACUUUCUGAAAGGGCUUACUAGAGCUGUAAUUACUUCCUCAUGAAUGUCAUUGAGUGCGUUUCUUUUUCACUUAUGUUUCUGCACAUCUAGUGUAUUUUCUAGGUAAUAAUAAGAUAAAUUGUAGUUAAUUUAAUAGUUUGUUACUAUUUUUACUUCAAGUGGAAUAAUAACACUUGUGCUUAUGUUAAGCAGUUAAAUGGCUACAGUACUAAGCAGUCUCAGUGAUUCUGUAGUAACUAACAUAACCAAGACAUCUUUUUGGAUCUUCUACUUUUCAUUUUUUAUUAAUAUGUGCAGCUCUGACUUAUUUCUUAAUCCAAAGAAUGCACAAAGUGUGUACUGGUGGAACAAUUUUGUAUCCUUGGUCAAUUGAAUGUGGUUCAGUUUGUCUGCCAAUGUCUUUAUUAAAAAGAAAUAAGUUAAAUAAAAUUUCAGUACUUGUCAAAGUGAUCUUUUAAUGCUAUGAUUUUGUUUAUCCAUCCAUCCAUUUUCUUUCACCCUUGUCCCUCAGUGGGGUCGGGAGGGUUGCUGGUUGAUUUUGUUUAAUGACAUGCAUUUAUGCAAAAAUCAUAAAGGCAUGAUUUUAUAAACAAAACGGCAUCUAAUUUUAGUGGAUUCUUCAGGACAUGUUCAGUAUCCAUCAGCUGAUGACAAGUCAGUAAUGAAGCAUAUUAAAAUGUUGGACGAACAAGAAGUGGUUUCAAGAAAUUGUCAGGAGAAAUAAGUUGUUCAGCUUUUUGAUACUCUUUAAGGACUUAUGAAAAUUAGUUAUAAUUGCCUACAUAGACCUGGCGUUAUUUAACCAUGUCUAUGUUCAACAGUUGACAGGUGAAAAAGGAAGCCAACUAAGGUUUGGUAGAAAAACUUGCUGUCAGUGUCAUUUAGUUUAAAUACUUCAGAUUUGGACAUAACUUCUUUUUUAAAACAGAGGGUUCCAACUUAGUGAAAUAAUCUUAAUGAAACCUACAUUAACUUGGUAUUUGGAUGCAUUUACAAACCAAAAGGUGUAGACCUCUAUUUCACCUACAAUAAUUAGAUGGACACAAUUUUAACUUAAAUUCUCUUUAGGCAUUUUCUCUGCAGGCUUAUGAAAUAAACCACAGAGGCCUGAGACACCAUCAGGCAGAUCAUUCUUUUCCCAGCAGAGCAGAUUUAGAGUUGGGGUACAGAGCUCAAUGCUAGAUAAAAAUGCAUCUUUUAACCAGUACUUUCAUAAAGCAUUUGAAGAUUAAGCMAUCUCUACCACUCAAUUUGAGAUUAGUGAUGGAGUUAGGGUUAACCCUAACCCCAAUCUAACCCUAGAUUGUUUUUUAUACAGUUUAACAUAGUGUUUCUCUAGGAGAAAAUCACUAUGUCAAUUAAACAUAAUUUAGAUUACUAAUGUAGUUUAAAUUACAGUAGACUCAAAAUGAUUCAAUAUUAAUUUACUAAACUGUAAUGUUGAAGGAUUUCAUUCUGGGUUUCCUUUCAUACACAAAAUAAGC